UGCCAGCCGCCGCGGUAAUACGGAGGGUGCAAGCGUUGUUCGGAUUUACUGGGCGUAAAGAGCGCGUAGGCGGCUUCAUAAGUUAAGGGUGAAAUCCCGGGGCUUAACUCCGGAACUGCUCUUGAAACUGUGGAGCUAGAGGCAGUCAGAGGUGGGUGGAAUUCCAGGUGUAGAGGUGAAAUUCGUAGAUAUCUGGAGGAACACCGGUGGCGAAGGCGGCCCACUGGGAUUGUUCUGACGCUGAGGCGCGAAGGCGUGGGUAGCGAACGGGAUUAGAUA
rnacentral:rRNA from 1 species